UACGUAGGAGGCAAGCGUUAUUCGGAUUUAUUGGGCGUAAAGGGGGCGUAGGCGGUCCUUCAAGUCGGAUGUAAAAUCUCCCGGCUUAACCGGGAGGGCGCAUUCGAUACUGUAGGGCUAGAGGGCAGCAGAGGGAGGUAGAAUUCCCGGUGUAGUGGUGGAAUGCGUAGAUAUCGGGAGGAAUACCAGUGGCGAAGGCGGCCUCCUGGGCUGUUUCUGACGCUGAGGCCCGAAAGCGUGGGUAGCAAACAGGAUUAGAUACCCUCGUA
rnacentral:rRNA from 1 species